rnacentral:misc_RNA from 1 species
AUGAAGAACGCAGCGAAAUGCGAUAAGUAAUGUGAAUUGCAGAAUUCAGUGAAUCAUCGAAUCUUUGAACGCACAUUGCGCCCGCCAGUAUUAUGGCGGGCAUGCCUGUCUGAGCGUCAUUUCAACCCUCAUGCCCCUAGGGCGUGGUGUUGGGGAUCGGCCAAAGCCCGCGAGGGACGGCCGGCCCCUAAAUCUAGUGGCGGACCCGUCGUGGCCUCCUCUGCGAAGUAGUGAUAUUCCGCAUCGGAGAGCGAUGAGCCCCUGCCGUUAAACCCCCAACUUUCCAAGGUUGACCUCAGAUCAGGUAGGAAUACCCGCUGAACUUAAGCAUAUCAAUAAGCGGAGGA